rnacentral:rRNA from 1 species
GCGGCGUGCUUAACACAUGCAAGUCGAACGGAAAGGCCCUGCUUUUGUGGGGUGCUCGAGUGGCGAACGGGUGAGUAACACGUGAGUAACCUGCCCUUGACUUUGGGAUAACUUCAGGAAACUGGGGCUAAUACCGGAUAGGAGCUCCUGCUGCAUGGUGGGGGUUGGAAAGUUUCGGCGGUUGGGGAUGGACUCGCGGCUUAUCAGCUUGUUGGUGGGGUAGUGGCUUACCAAGGCUUUGACGGGUAGCCGGCCUGAGAGGGUGACCGGCCACAUUGGGACUGAGAUACGGCCCAGACUCCUACGGGAGGCAGCAGUGGGGAAUAUUGCACAAUGGGCGGAAGCCUGAUGCAGCAACGCCGCGUGCGGGAUGACGGCCUUCGGGUUGUAAACCGCUUUCGCCUGUGACGAAGCGUGAGUGACGGUAAUGGGUAAAGAAGCACCGGCUAACUACGUGCCAGCAGCCGCGGUGAUACGUAGGGUGCGAGCGUUGUCCGGAUUUAUUGGGCGUAAAGGGCUCGUAGGUGGUUGAUCGCGUCGGAAGUGUAAUCUUGGGGCUUAACCCUGAGCGUGCUUUCGAUACGGGUUGACUUGAGGAAGGUAGGGGAGAAUGGAAUUCCUGGUGGAGCGGUGGAAUGCGCAGAUAUCAGGAGGAACACCAGUGGCGAAGGCGGUUCUCUGGGCCUUUCCUGACGCUGAGGAGCGAAAGCGUGGGGAGCGAACAGGCUUAGAUACCCUGGUAGUCCACGCUGUAAACGGUGGGUACUAGGUGUGGGGUCCAUUCCACGGGUUCCGUGCCGUAGCUAACGCUUUAAGUACCCCGCCUGGGGAGUACGGCCGCAAGGCUAAAACUCAAAGGAAUUGACGGGGCCCCGCACAAGCGGCGGAGCAUGCGGAUUAAUUCGAUGCAGCGCGUAGAACCUUACCUGGGUUUGACAUGGAUCGGGAGUGCUCAGAGAUGGGUGUGCCUCUUUUGGGGUCGGUUCACAGGUGGUGCAUGGCUGUCGUCAGCUCGUGUCGUGAGAUGUUGGGUUAAGUCCCGCAACGAGCGCAACCCUUGUUCACUGUUGCCAGCACGUUAUGGUGGGGACUCAGUGGAGACCGCCGGGGUCAACUCGGAGGAAGGUGGGGAUGACGUCAAGUCAUCAUGCCCCUUAUGUCCAGGGCUUCACGCAUGCUACAAUGGCUGGUACAGAGAGUGGCGAGCCUGUGAGGGUGAGCGAAUCUCGGAAAGCCGGUCUCAGUUCGGAUUGGGGUCUGCAACUCGACCUCAUGAAGUCGGAGUCGCUAGUAAUCGCAGAUCAGCAACGCUGCGGUGAAUACGUUCCCGGGGCUUGUACACACCGCCCGUCAAGUCAUGAAAGUUGGUAACACCCGAAGCCGGUGGCCUAACCGUUGUGGGGGAGCCGUCGAAGGUGGGACUGGUGAUUAGGACUAA